rnacentral:rRNA from 1 species
CACGUAGGGCGCAAGCGUUGUCCGGAAUUAUUGGGCGUAAAGAGCUCGUAGGCGGUUUGUCGCGUCCGCUGUGAAAAUCCAGGGCUUAACCCUGGACCUGCAGUGGGUACGGGCAGACUAGAGUGCGGUAGGGGAGAUCGGAAUUCCUGGUGUAGCGGUGAAAUGCGCAGAUAUCAGGAGGAACACCGGUGGCGAAGGCAGCUCGCUGGGACGGUACUGACGCUGAGACGCGAAAGCGUGGGGGAGCAAACAGG